GAUGAACGCUAGCUACAGGCUUAACACAUGCAAGUCGAGGGGAAACGGCAUUUAGUGCUUGCACUGAAUGGACGUCGACCGGCGCACGGGUGAGUAACGCGUAUCCAACCUUCCCAUUACUGUGGGAUAACCUGCCGAAAGGCAGACUAAUACCGCAUAGUCUUCGAUGACGGCAUCAGAUUUGAAGUAAAGAUUAAUCGGUAAUGGAUGGGGAUGCGUCUGAUUAGCUUGUUGGCGGGGUAACGGCCCACCAAGGCAACGAUCAGUAGGGGUUCUGAGAGGAAGGUCCCCCACAUUGGAACUGAGACACGGUCCAAACUCCUACGGGAGGCAGCAGUGAGGAAUAUUGGUCAAUGGACGAGAGUCUGAACCAGCCAAGUAGCGUGCAGGAUGACGGCCCUAUGGGUUGUAAACUGCUUUUGUAUGGGGAUAAAGUCAAUCACGUGUGAUUGUUUGCAGGUACCAUACGAAUAAGGACCGGCUAAUUCCGUGCCAGCAGCCGCGGUAAUACGGAAGGUCCGGGCGUUAUCCGGAUUUAUUGGGUUUAAAGGGAGCGUAGGCCGGAGAUUAAGUGUGUUGUGAAAUGUAGACGCUCAACGUCUGACUUGCAGCGCAUACUGGUUUCCUUGAGUACGCACAACGUUGGCGGAAUUCGUCGUGUAGCGGUGAAAUGCUUAGAUAUGACGAAGAACUCCGAUUGCGAAGGCAGCUGACGGGAGCGCAACUGACGCUUAAGCUCGAAGGUGCGGGUAUCGAACAGG
rnacentral:rRNA from 1 species